rnacentral:rRNA from 1 species
GACGAACCGGGCGAACGUUGUUCGGAAUCACUGGGCUUAAAGGGCGCGUAGGCGGGUGCUCAAGUCCGUGGUGAAAUCCUCCGGCUCAACCGGAGAACUGCCUCGGAUACUGGGUGCCUCGAGGGUGGUAGGGGUAUGCGGAACUAUCGGUGGAGCGGUGAAAUGCGUUGAUAUCGAUAGGAACUCCGGUGGCGAAGGCGGCAUACUGGACCACCUCUGACGCUGAGGCGCGAAAGCCAGGGGAGCAAACGGG